rnacentral:miRNA from 1 species
GGGUGUAUACUUCAGCUAGUUAGAGAAUCUCCCCCUUGGGCUGGAGAGAUGGCUCAGCCGUUAAAGGCUAGGCUCACAACCAAAAAUAUA